GAAGAUUAAAUAUUAACUGAAACCCUAAUACAUCUGCUGCCUCACUUUCCUAGGUUUCUUCGUCAGAUAAAAUUACUAUAAAAAGGAAUAUAUAUCUGUCUGAAUCUGUGUCGGGAUAUAUAUAACAAAAAUGGAUCUUGGUCAACCAUUCUUUGAAGAUCUCCACCGCCCACCGCCUCCACCCGAACCUCCGCCGCCAUUUUUGCCGUGAUGUUUAUCUAGGUCUCAAAGAAAUGGAUGACGGUUUACAGGUAGUUGUUUCUUCUUCUUCUUUUUUAAUUUUUCGGCAUCUUUCGUCUUUUGAUUAGUUUGUGACAUUGUGUGCAUGCGAAAUCGAAUUUAAUUUUUCCGGUUUUUUUAGUCCAGAUCUGAUACAUAAUGAUGUGGCAAAUGGAGAUGUUUUAUAAUCUGCAUUUUUUAUUUGUUUUCUCAAACUACUAAAAUGUUUCUGAAACCCAAACCGAAACCGAAUGUGAAUUUGGUACUUUCUAUAGGUUUGGGUGAUAGAUUUUUGCCCUUUUAGGCUUACAUUUUUACUGAUAUAUGAAAACUUAUGAAACCCUAGAAGGUUCUUUUCUUUUAGAUUUGAUGCAUUUUUUCGGAGUUAAUUUAUGAGAAAAAUUAAAUAACUAAAAGAACGAGAGAUAAUGGGAGAACAACAAGGAUCCCGUUUUACCGAUUUCCUUGUCUUUAAUAUUUUGUCAGUGUCAUUUUUUAUUUAACUCUCUCUUUUUUUGUGGACAGAUAGACGGUGUUGCGUUGGUGGAGUAUCUUGAACAAUAUUUAUAAGCCACGCGUGUGCAAAACCAAUUUUCGGCAAACCAAUUUUCUUAGGGGAAGCGUAAAAAAGUUUAUAAAGUCUCUCUUCUAUUUAAUUUAUUCUUGACCAACCGAUGAAGGUUUUGGUAGAGGAGAAUCUCGAACUAUAUUCUCGUCAGCGACCCAAUAAAGGCAAUGCCAACUUCCAUGAGGCACACUGUCAAGGGGCAGACUCAAACAGUAUGAGUGAUACUCUGCAUCGUACACUCGGCGUAAAUGAGAACCCUCUUAUUUUUCCUUUCCUCGUCAAUUAUAUUCCACAACUCUGCACACGCCUUCAUCCAUGGGUACGGUGCAAAUAAAGCGUUUGUCGAAGAUUUACAAGAGGUAUUUUUUUCUAUGUUUUGAUGCACAUGAAUGUAUCGACCGCGUAAUAAUUUAAUUCGUUCCGUGGUGAUGCUUUAGACACGUAUUAUUUUUCCAUGGACUUGUAUAUGAAUUUAAAUUUCGGACAUUUCCGUGUUAAGUUAUCGUAUCUUUUACAAUAAUGUUGCAUUUGUUUAAUUAUAUGGUUUAUUAUUAGCCAUUUAAAUUAUUUUCUAUUGUUCUCUUUCUAAACAUAGCUUUGUUCUCGACUUGUAGUUUUUGUGAAAUGUGCAGAUUUGAGCGAGGAAUAUGUCACACUUUGGUUCGUUGAGAAAUAUGUCACGCAUUUGAAUCCUCAUAUUUGAGAGAGGUACACAUUAUAUAUAUAUAUAUAUAUAUAUAUAACUCGAAUAUGUGGUCAUUCUUUACGUAAUCUUAGUUCUUGAGAGCUAUUGUUGCUUUAGUCACAUUUACCCUUGGUUUUUUUUAAAAUUUAUUUAGAUUGUUCGUUGACGAUCAGAAAUUGGGAAAUCAGUAAAAUUUAGAGUCAUUAGAUACGGAUUCUAAGAAGGAGAUAUUGUUGAUGCUGCAAUUCCCAAGAGCACCGUGGAGUAAGAAAGUUCCAUACUUUGCGACAAAUGUGAAGCAGAGUAUCACACAUAUUGUUUGCGUAGUGUGCUUCAAGGAAGUUCGUUGCUUUUGUUGUGUCGCUGAGGAGAAUGUAGUUCGAGGUUCUCCUUCUAUCAAAACAUCGGUUGGUCAAGAGCAAAAGAAACCGAAGAGGGAUUUUAUAAAAUGUUGCAAUUGUCAUUUAAUAUAUAUAUGUAUUUAGCUAUAAUUUUUGAUAUUGUUACAAUAAGAAAUCAAAAAUCAGUAGUUUCAUUUUUUUGCUUGUAGCCAAAAUAUUUC
rnacentral:lncRNA from 1 species